AGGGGUUGUGUGUUGUCGCUCUCGGCAAACAAACGGUUUUCGUAUUGCUCUUGAGAUAUCUGUGGGCUCCUUGCUGUGGUGUGGCAUGCUGACAUUCCCUCCACACCCACACUGGCAGCCAAUGUGCCAAUUAGU
rnacentral:lncRNA from 1 species